GGGAUGAGCGGCCUUCGGGUUGUAAACCGCUUUCAGCAGGGACGAAGGGUUUAUGACGGUACCUGCAGAAGAAGCCCCGGCUAACUACGUGCCAGCAGCCGCGGUAAU
rnacentral:rRNA from 1 species